rfam:Felis catus isolate Cinnamon breed Abyssinian chromosome X, whole genome shotgun sequence.
GCCUGGGUGGCUCAGUCGGUUAAGCGCCCAACUUCAGCUCGGGUCAUGAUCUCACAGUUCAUGGGUUCGAGCCCCACAUCAGGCU